UNUGGGCCGUUACUGACGCUGAGGAGCGAAAGCGUGGGGAGCGAACAGGAUUAGAUACCCUGGUAGUCCACGCCGUAAACGUUGGGCACUAGGUGUGGGGGGCCUUUUCCGGGUCUUCCGCGCCGUAGCUAACGCAUUAAGUGCCCCGCCUGGGGAGUACGGCCGCAAGGCUAAAACUCAAAGGAAUUGACGGGGGCCCGCACAAGCGGCGGAGCAUGCGGAUUAAUUCGAUGCAACGCGAAGAACCUUACCAAGGCUUGACAUGUGCCGGUCUGCUCCGGAGACGGGGUUUCCUCCCUUGUGGGGGCUGGUUCACAGGUGGUGCAUGGUUGUCGUCAGCUCGUGUCGUGAGAUGUUGGGUUAAGUCCCGCAACGAGCGCAACCCUUGUCUCGUGUUGCCAGCACGUUGUGGUGGGGACUCGCGGGAGACUGCCGGGGUCAACUCGGAGGAAGGUGGGGAUGACGUCAAAUCAUCAUGCCCCUUAUGUCUUGGGCUUCACGCAUGCUACAAUGGCCGGUACAGAGGGCUGCGAUACCGUGAGGUGGAGCGAAUCCCUUAAAGCCGGUCUCAGUUCGGAUCGGUGUCUGCAACUCGACACCGUGAAGUUGGAGUCGCUAGUAAUCGCAGAUCAGCAACGCUGCGGUGAAUACGUUCUCGGGCCUUGUACACACCGCCCGUCACGUCAUGAAAGUCGGCAACACCCGAAGCCCGUGGCCCUACGGGGAGCG
rnacentral:rRNA from 1 species